CGUAAAUAAAGGUAGUAGCUCAGUACUAGUCCCUUUAGUGUUUACUGUAACAGUAUUAUGUCCUAUGACUUCACUGAGUCAUAAAUAUAAAUAUAGGUAUGCAUACAUGCUUGUUCUAAUAAAUCAUUCAGAAAUAAUUCCAAGAAUAUGGAAUUUACAAAAAAAAACCAAACCAUCUAUAGAUCAAAAAUUAACCCUACUUACUUGUCUGAGACCACAUACUGGAGUUUUCCUUUUCAUGUGUUUUAAAGUGAUAUUUAUUAAGCAAGAAUGAUUCCUGGAACAUGUGACAGAGCAACUAUCUGAAAAAUUUCACUGACUGCCAAGAUGAGGGAAUUUACAGUAAGAAACUGCUCAUAAGAUUAAGUAUUUUGCAUAUUAAGAAUUGAGACCAAUUCUAAACUGUUUCAAAUGGAAGGAGCUUCAUUAAAUGCCUAAUAAAAGAAACGGCCAUUGAAAUGUAAGCUUGGAUGAAUCCAAGAUGGUUCCCACAGACUGUACCUUUUUUGCCCCCUGUUCCUCUUCAACACCAUCUCCUAUUACAAUGUACACGGCUUUCCUUCCAAACCUUUGCAUUAUUCUUUCAAAACAGCUCUCUUUUCCUGAGCAACAAAAGAGAAGACGUUUAUUUUUAUCUGGAUGCAUAAAGUAAUUGGGACUUAUAUUCACAUAUUGGAACUGAUGUUGUAAACUAACUAAACUUGCCACAUUCCCCACUUUUUUUUUAAUUAGAGCCCAACUGGAUCUUCAACUGAGAUGGAUUCUCUCAUGAGAGCUACGAGCCCUUUAUCAGUUGAAGAAUUCCAGGUGCUGCCAAUUUUCCAUAAGCUUAGUGACUUUGCACAGCUUAGACUGGCAGUUGGUAGAGUGAUGUAACACUCGUAUUGAGUUGCCCUAUUCUAUUCAUUCUGGUUGCAGUAGUGAACGUAAAAAUACAAACCUCAAAGAUUCAAACAAAAUCCUACCAGAAGGGACAGAAAACAAAAGCCCCAAGCCAACUCUGUCAAUAUUUAUUCCUCUCACAGCUCUUCUAGAACUCACUCAGCACACUUGACUCUGCAAGUAACAGGAUCCAAACCACAUUUCUGUAAGAGGUCCAACCAGACUGUCCCCCUCCUAGCUGGACGCACCUGAACACCCAAACUGCUGCUCCAUAAGGAACCUAAACACCAUGUAGGCAAUGUCCAUGCUUUGACUUGAGUGAAUGUCUUCAGGGGUUGAAGGGCCCUUUCCUACUCUCUCGCAAAUCUCUGCAUAUGAAAAGUGUACUGCAGGUGAGGUAGGAAAGGAAAGGUAAGAAAAAAGUGUGGUUGCUUUUUUUUGUCUCAGUUCAUCAUCUCAAGUGACCUUGAUAAUACAAGUAUGACAAGCAUAUGCAGACAGGCCUCCCACAGGUUUGGCCAGCAAAGUCCUACAAAUGUGUCUCGAUUUGUUUAGAGGAAGGGGAAAAUGGAAAGCAAAGGAGAUCCUGGAUCAAGCCUGGAGGCAGGUCUGUAAGCUGUUCUUACCGGGAAUGUAUCAAAUUCAGUGCCUUCAGAGCAUGUGUGAGCCAGAGAUCAGUCAGCGCUUCGAGUUCUGCUCUUAACUGCAGCCAGGUUUCCCUCUUAGGAGCUCCUAUUAAACCUGUAAGCAGGGAAAGCAUCUUUGCAGAAGCACAGAAAGGGAGCUGCAUGCUUGUGUAUGUAAGUAUGCCAAAGGGCCCCUUAUUGUAUUCUGAAUCCUGCCCCUUCCAGUGCCCUUCUCUUGUCACUGGUGCAGGUUACUUUCCUUUGCCUCAAGGUAUAUCAGCCCUGACUGCAACACACUCCUAUGCAACUAGAGCUCAGCUUCCUUCCUCUCCAAAGGAAUGGUAUCAGUCACCUGCAGUCUGCAGGCCCGUGUUAAAACAUCCUUCUUGAAGUUAGCACAAAGAUCAUAUGAGAAAUGAGCAAGAGGACAAAAGAGUUCUGUGCAGGGGUUGGUGGCCUGAGCUAAGAGAAGCCUGGAGCCAAUAAGGUCUUUUUUUCUUCCUGAAAAGCUGUGCACCAUUUCCAGUACAUGUGGGUAGGGCAUUUCUCUAACAAUGAAACAAGUCUGUGGUGAUAUUCUUAGCUUUACAUCUUUCUCUUUCUAGGCAGAGACCUGUCACUGUUCUAAAAUAGAAGCAAAGCAAUCUCUUGGAAGAAUUGCCUGCAAUGAGCUGAGAUGAAAAACCUCAGGGCAUCCUGAUAUCUUUUGAUAUUGUUUUAGGGGAGAUAAUAGUAGGCAUUCAAGAAUGCUUUCAGAUAGAACUCAGCCAUAUGUUCUUCUGUGGGAGAAAACAGUCUACUGAGUUUUGAACUGUUUGCUUGCUUACUAAGCAUUUUGGAAAAUUUGAGGUUUUUUCUCUGGCCAAAGAAAUAACGAAAUAAAGCCCCGUGUUCAAAUUUGAGUCCUCCAUCCACUAAACCAAGUAUUUUAGCAUAACUCUUGCAAAUCCCAUACAAAAUCCUUAUUUCAGAAUGACCGCUGAAACACUUGUUCAGCUCAGUGUUUAAGUACUGUUAUCAUUAUGCUCUCUGCACCUCCUCUGCAGCAUAUUCCUAGCAGGGUCAGAAGUGUUUGCGAGGAUGAAAGGCACACUUACUGCCUGGCAGCAGAUACUUACCCCCAACAUUGUUUUUGUAGGUGUUGUACAUCUCUUUCACCCGACGGUAGCGGAAUGCUAAUUUCCUCAUCCAGUCAACUCCCCCAUGAACGCCUGAGCCCAGACAUAGAUUUGCACUGGCAGCUGAACUGUGAAAGCCAUCUGCAGAGAAGUUAUACGUGCUAGAAGAAGGAAGAAGGGAAGGGGAGAGGCCAUUAGAAUUACAGUCUAUGCAGCACCAGCAAAGAAUGGGCAUUUGUGGCCUGUUAUUUUUCUUUUACUUGAAUGAUUUAUUUCCAGGCUAAGAAAUCAAGCAGACUGCCAGACCCACGAUCCCAUUCAGACAUUAGCAUCAUGUCUGAAAUCAGGACUACUUGUACAGAUUUAAAAAAAAAAAAAUUCUUACUGUGAACACAGUGUAGGUUUAGUGCUUCCUGCCAGUCCUGAGGUUCCCUGCACUACAAAACAUCUGAUUGUCCUCAGGUCACUGAAAACCCUCAACUGCCUCUUAUCCAGGCUGCUAAGAUUAGCAUUUUAACCAAUGCCUCAGCAGGUAUCCUGACUCAUCUGCUUACAGUCCACGGGAGCCACAGGAACUAAACAUCUGAGGACUACCUGACCUACAGCUUCCAGCAUGGAGAUUCCAUACCUUAGAUCUUGACCAUUGUCAUCUGAUGAUACAUCAUCUAUGUGGAUCUGGUCACAGUCCUGAGGAGCACAUGAAAAGAAAAUACAUCAUGUUAGCAUCAUCAUUAGAGAGAAAUCAGUAAGCUCCUCCCUGCCACCUUAAUCUACUUUCUCUGUGAUCCUUGUUGGUAAGGACAAAACAGAAAACCUUCAAGUUGACAAACACUAUGCUUUGUUCUGGUUCACCCAACAAAAGCAAAAGCACAGUUGAUAAAAGGAAUCUUCAUUGGAGUCAGAAUUGCAGAAUUUCCUUGAAAUCUUAGUGAGUGGGGAACCAAGGCAGGAUAUCUGUGCUGCUGAAAAGAAGGUCCAGAUUGUCUGAAUGAAGUCUGCAAUGGAAACUGGAAAUUUCAAUUUCCACAUCUGCUGGCUUUUAAAAAUAAUAUUCUAGGAUCUCAGAGGAACGUGAUCUGUGGCAUGUGCAGCCUGUAACUAAGGCAAAUGUGUGAGACCUCAGCCAAUCCUCCUAGCUUAUGGAAUUGAACUGUUUUUACUGCUGUGACAUCUCUAGGCCAGCUUGUGAUACAUGACCUGUCUCCAGGUGGGAUGAAAACCUCGAACGUGGGCUAACGCAGCUCUGAAAUUGUACCACAGGCUUGGAGAAAGCCUCUGCUGCCUCCUUGUGAAAUACAAGCUGUUCCUGAGGAUGCAUGGAGAAACUUAGUUACCACUUAUGAAUGUUCUCAAGGCUGCUGCCCACAAGUGCCCUGCCUUUGCCUAAUGUGUUCUCAUGGCCACUGGGAACAUCUCACAUGCUGAGAGAAGCAGGGUUAUUUUCCAGUCUUCUGAUGAAGUUGAGUGUUCAAAGCCAUGUGUGGAAACAGCUGCCAACUAGGUCAUCCACCUUUAAUUAGAAAUGCUUGCACAUGAGAUUGUCCUACUGCCUCUGCAAGAACUACAUGCCAGAAUGAUCUUCCAUGUCUGUAGAAAACUGUACUGAAAAUACAAGGUGCAAGUGAACUUGGAAAGCUGGGGUAUCAUGAUACUCUUUCUCUUGGUACUAAGAGUCCCAAAUUCGUAACGCUCUGCCCAUCUGUUCUUCUUUGUGGGAAGCAAGACAUGGAAAUAGAUUAGAAAACUUAUAUCUGAAUAACUGACACAUGUUUCUUCUGUUCAUCAUCGCAACUCCUGCUCUCGUUCACUUAUUUGCUUUUUCAGGCAUAGAACUGUAUUCGUGCUCUGGGGAUUGUCCUUCAACAAAAGGUUUUUGUUUCCCCAGAAAUGGUAAUUAGUAUCUGGUCUUAAAUAAAAUUAAAUAAUAAAUAGUAUUUAGAAAGACUAAAAGCCCUUUCCUUCUUAACUGCUUAUAUCUUUGUCUGUGACACAGCUAUUUCAUUAGCUCUCAGUCACCAGGGAGCUCUCAAGAAUAGAGAUGACUCAAGUUGUUAAAAUAAAUAUUAAGCUGAAAAAGAACUGAGAAAUUCCAUUGUUUUCUCUUUAAAAAUAUCACGAAAUGAUGAAAACAACCCACCUAUUUCUCCUUCUUGCAGGUAAGCUCUAUACUUCAAUCAAGUGUGUUUAUUUCAGCGUUUAUUGACAAUGUUUUUA